ACGGAGGGCCGCCGCUCCUUUGCCAACCUCAGUUGGUCAGGCUGGGUGUGGAGGGAGCGCCGGGGAAGGGCCGCAUACAGCCGGCGAGCCAGUCAACCAGCCUGUGCCGCUCUUGUGGUCGGGACAGGGCUGAAGAUAGUGCCGCGCCUUCGGUUCUGCAAAGACAUUUCAAGCCUGAGCUACAAAUAUGUUCUUUUAUCUCGGUGCAAAGACAGCGUCAGGAAGGAAGAGGACGCCGGAGAUUUACCUUGGGCUGUCUUCCCCGAGCCAGGACAGAAAUCCUGUGGUUUAACGGUUGCAAUUGAAAAGAGGUUUACUGAAACACGGGAUGACAAAGAAAGCACUGGAAAGAAAAGUUCUUCUAUUUCUACUUUACUGGGUUCCUGAAGCACCAUGAUUUGAAGGACGGAUUUGGACUACAGAACUUUGGAAAUCUACGUAUCAAAUGAGGCACAGCCAUAUGUUUGCAAUAUAUGCUGCAUUUGCUGAUGGAAAAAAUGAUCUGUUUUUAGAAGAUGCUAUUCUGGGGAAAUCUAAAAGCCACAUAUAUUUGGGAAUGACUGGAAUUUAGAGAAGAAACUUGGGAAUUCUUCAUGUUAUCUCUACUUUGGAUGCAUUAAUCUCAUAUAAUAGCAUGCAGCAUUGUAAGUAGCAACUAUAGUCAUGGCAUUGUGCAACCUUUUAAAUGAUGCAUCAUUGAGCUUUGCUACAAACAUAGCUAUAUCUCUAAAGAGGAUUUCCAGCAAAACAAGAUCAGACAUAUUUGGAUUGAAAGGUGCUUCUUGCCCAAAGAUGCCACUGACUAUUAUGUGAAGGCAUGAACAGAUUUGUGGAUUGCAUUCUGUCCUGUGGCAUAAUUCCAUACACCAGGCACUUUGGCUUGGAUUUAAGAAUCUGUUGUCUUCAGUGAAACCUAAGAUGUGCCCUUGAUUUGGACCUGUCUCAGAAGGUAGUCUGUAAAAUGGCUCAGACCAGCUUGCUGCAGGGGAAACAGUUUUAUUGCAGAGAGUGGGUUUUUCACAAACUACAGCACUGCCUCCAGGAAAAGACAAGCUUCAGCAAUAGCUCUGCCAACAAACCAUCCAUUGUGCUGAAUUCUGGAUCUAAUGCUUGUGUUGUCCCUGGCAAAGGUGCAUCCUGGGGUGUAUUGUUAGUAGGAGGUCCUGGUAGUGGCAAGACAGCAGUUUGCACUGAAUUAUUAUGGCCAAGCUCACCUGCAAACUUACAAAGAGGUUUACACCACCAAGCACUAGCCUUCCAUUUUUGUAGGGCACAGGACUCUGAUACUCUCUGUGUGGGGAGGUUUAUUAGAGGCUUAGUUGCCCAGAUCUGUCAGAGUGGACUGAUUCAGGGUUACGAGGACAAAGUGAGAGAUCCUGCUGUUCAAAGUCUCCUGCAACCUGGGGAAUGUGAGAGAAACCCUGCUGAAGCUUUUAAAAGGUGCAUUUUGCUUCCACUUCUGGGAACCAAGAGCCCCCAACAAAGUUACUUUCUCUUGGUGGAUUCGGUAGAUGAGGGGUGCAAUAUUGCUGAAGGUGACCAGACCUCUACAACCUUAUCUGGAACUAUAGCUGAACUUCUAGCUACUCACUAUGAAUUUUUCCCCCCAUGGUUGCUGCUCCUCUGUUCUGCUCGAAAGCAGAAUAAAGCUGUCACUAAGUUGUUUACAGGUAAGUACAUGUUUUAGUGACAUAACAGUUAUUUCUAAUUUGUGCAGUGUUUUAAGAGGAUUAUAUAAGAAGCAAUAUACAGAAAGUAGUAUGAAGAAUACUGUAUAUUAAAACAUAGAUAACUAUACCAUUAACUUAUAUGAACAAUCUAUAUUCUUGGGAUAUGUACAUUUUGUUUAGGAUUUAUAAACUCCAGAUUUUACAACCUGAUUGACCUUAUUGUUAUUUGACAAAAAGAACUUAAAUGGGAUCAGACUUGGUUUGUAAUUAAAUGUGAAAUCACCAGGAAAUCUUAGGAUAAUAGUCUAGAUCAGUGGUUCUCAACCUAUGGGUCGGAACGACCAUUUCAUAGGGGUCGCCAAACAAGGCUAUCCACCAUUUUUUUCCCCUUUUCUUUGGCCACGCCCCUGGCAUCCGAUGAUGUAUAAGUGGUUGGGGGUCACCACAACACGGGGAACUGUAUUAUGGGGUCGCGGCAUUAGAAAGGUUGAGAACCACUGGUCUAGAUUGUUCUUACCAAAGAGCACCUGGAAAAAGGCAAUGGCAAUUGACUUUCAUACCUAGAUUUUCCCAUUUAGACCCCAGAGUCAAACGUGAACUAAACAAAUGUUCUGUUUAGUCUAAAUAUAAAUGCAGGUAUUCCACAACUUAUGACCAUAUGUUUAACAAUGUUUCAAAGUUGGAAAAAAAAUAAAAACCUGUCCUCAGGUUACAACUAUCAUAUUACCCCAGCCAGUCAUGUGAUUGCUAUUGGGGCACUUUGCAACCAGCUCAAAUUUACCAUCGUUGCAACAUCUUGUUAUGUGAUCAUGAUCUGCAGCUUCUGAUAAGCAAAAUCAAUUGGGUAGCUGGAUUUGUUAAGCUUAACAACCACGUGACUUGCUUAAUGACCCCAGUGAUUCAUUUAAUGGCCACAGUAAAAAUGGUCAUAAAAUUAGGUCCAGUCACAUGAUUACUUUCUUAACAACUGCAAUCCUUAAGAACCAAAAUUAUGGGCUUAACUAACCAUAAUUUACAAGUCGUAAAUCAAGGACUACCUACAUUUGAAAAGUACUGGGUUUAAGAAUGGUGGUACAUACAUUUGUUUGUCUUUCUAAACAUUCUAGAUUUAUUACUUUACAUUUUAGGAAUGGAAAUUGCAUUUUGCAAGUUUAUUGAAUGGGUGUAGCUGCAUUUGAUUAUGGGAGUGCUGUUGGCAAAAGCUAUUGGGAGUCUUCUACAACUUGUUGUUCCAGUCUUGACUGACUUGUAAGCUUAUUUUGUCACUCUGCUGCUAUUGUUCCUGAGACUUUUCUUAAAUGCAAAGAAGUGUAAGCAGUGGAUUUCUAGCUUGCCUACAAAGUUGCUUAUUUUAAGAAAAGAACUUCAGAAAAACCUCUUUUUUUAAAAAAAGGCAAAUUAGUAAGACAAGCAAUAUGUUUAUUUUUCUCUGUUAAUAACACAUGUAAUAUCUAAUUGGCACCAAUGCUCUGGUAAAAAAAUGUUUUGGUAAAAAAAAAUGUUAUGGUAAAGGAAAAAAAGGUGUGGAUUGGGGGUACUGAGAAAGAAAAGAUUGAAAUAACUCCCUAUGACAGGAAUUCAUUUUGUUUUGUGUUGUAUUUUUUUUCUUUCUUGCGUUUUUAAGGAAUUAAUUUUCUAUUCUCAGAGCAAAAGUUCACAACUUGAAAUGAAUGAAUCAUAAUUAAACUUCUAAAACAAUAAAAUAUAUGGGUCCAAAUAUCAGAUAGGUUGAUUUAGCUAAUGAAAGAAGAGAGGAAGACAGUAUCUGGUCCUCUUAACUUUACUUGAAUUGCUUUACAAUUAUGUAGUAGAACUCAUGGAAUCUAAACAAACAUUUUGCACAAUCAUGUCUUGGUGUAUAUGUAUACAUGCAUAUGGUUAAACAAGAUUUUCCUUAAAACUACCCACAGCUAUUUUAGCUUUGCCUCAAUGAUGAAGUGUAAGAGUGAACAUACAAAGCUAUGCAACAUGCUCAUUCAUGCUUCCUGUUGCUUUUUGUUUUACCUUUGCUAUUUGUCUCUUAUUGCAUAACUUUCUUACCUUAUCCUACUUCACUAUUACAGAGAAAAAUGGUUACAUAUAUAUACAUCUGUCCUCAAAUACAAUAUAAGAUCCUCAAUUUUUUAGAAAUCUAGAAUAAGCCAAGAUAGAUAAGAAACUCCAGUGGCUUAAUGGCUCUACCUGAAUCUUUUCUGUUGUAGAGAUGUACAAUCAAAGCUUUCAAGAGUGUCUUCCAAAAUUAUGUCUGUAUGCAAAUCUUAAUAUAAGUGAACUAUGUCAACCAAGGUAUUUGGAUAAGCCAUGAAAUAUCAGGAGAUCUAUGAUUAUCUAUUGAACUAUUGGAGGCCAUAGGAGGCUCCUGAAUAUCAUUUGUACAUUUAAUAGAACAAUUUUAUGUUGGGGAGGAACUAGGACAGUGGGGAAUUAGUGUUAAUUGUUGGACAGAAUUAAGAAAUAACCUGGUGAAUUGUGGAACAGAUUCACUGAGUUUGGGAAAGGCUCUCUGGUCAUUUGUUUUCUGACCAGAUAAUAUGUGUUUGCUAAGCGCAGAGAGAGAGGUCUGUCUAUCUGAAGGCCCGCAAUGUAAGAGCACCAAUGAGAAAAGAACACUGGCAGCUGUCCAAGAGGAGAUGUGGUGGGCUGCCCUUCAGAAGGACAAGAAAAACUGUACUUGUCAAUAGUCAUGCAUUAAUGGAAGAUUUAAAUUAAAGUGGAGAGAGAUAUGCAACGACUCAGUGGAGAAUGCUGGGCAUUGAGAAAAUGGCUGUAUACCAUAAUGGUGGAGCCACUAGUCCAGGAAUGUCAAAGUCGGGACGUCACAUGAUGUCGUGCAAUGUAUCGGGCCAGUUUUGCCAACAAUGGGGUGGGUGCGGCUUCCAUGUGACGUGUCCAACCCGUGGGCCGGCAAUUUGACACCCCUGCACUAGUCAGAAAGCAGUACUUAAAAUCCAACACAUCAGUGCUAACUAGAUAGAUUUGUAAACAACAAUCUUUCUAAUCUUCAGUGUCUAUACACUAUUGCCCAGAGAAUACAUAACAAGAAGACAGAAGUAAAUACUAACCUGGGAAAUCAGAUAUUGCUUGGUUAAAAGAAAUCUCAUGGGAUGAGAAUCAAGAUUAGAUAACACUAGUGAAAAGAUACGGCUUGUUCAAAAGAUAUAUACCCUAUAAAGAAGGAGGCAAAAUAGCUCUGUAUGUAUAAUAGCAAUAGGCUUGUGAACAAAUAUAUGCCCCCAAACUGGAAAUCUUGUGGAAAGCAUCUGCAUCAAAUUAAAAAGAAAAAGAAAUAAAUCUGACACUGUUGUAGAAAUUUGCUGUUGGCCAGUUACUAAAGCAAAGGAAGAGGACAUUCAACAAAUUGAUUUAGGCAAUGGUAGUAAAUGAUAUACUCAAAUGAUUCUUAACAAGAUUCUUAACAAGCCUUAAGAAAGUCCAGCUUUAAUUCUUUUUUCUCUUGCUGCCAAUUUCUUUUUUUUAAAAAAGAAGAAAUCAUGGUGCCAGUUAUCUUAGAUUUAAUACUAAUGAGCAGAAAAUAAUCACUGAAUAGAUGGAAGGUAUUUAGCAUCUUGGGAGAGCACAGCAAUAUCAAUGCAGCAUAGAAUUGUUUGAAAUCUGGAAGAAGAAAUAAGUUGGUAAAUGAACUUCCAAAACCGGAUUCUAAAAACAUUAUGUACAAACAUAUUCCUUAUUAGAAGAAAAUAUAAAAAAAGCUUUUAAGGGCUUCAAUAGAUGAACUGUAGAGUACUUGUUAUAAUUAGAUCCAGUUUAGUGCAGUGAUGAAGUGACAUAAAACUUAAGUCCUGGUCCUGUCCAGCCAGCGGUGAUCUUGGGCCAAACCCAUAUAUUCAGCCCUAGGAAGGAGGCAACAGUAAAGCAUUUCUGAAAUCCUGUGAAGAAAACUACAGGCAGUAGUUCAGAUAUGGGUGAGAUAGAUAUGUAGAUCACAGAUGUUGAGAAACAAAAAAUAAAAUAAAAUAAAGAAAUUGUCUCAAGAUCUGAUACAAAAGGAAGAAUAAAAAUUGGCAGCUUAUUGUUAUAGUAAAGGAGCCAGAAAAUCCAAACCUCAGAAUAAGAUGAGGCUAAUAAACGCUCUAAAGUACUGAAACAACAAAGAUCACCAAACUGAAAUUAAAAGACAAAAAAAAAAAAGCUGAUUUUGAGGAAGAAAUUAGAACGAGCUGUGAAACAGAUGUGACUUGUUUUCCCUGGAAGAUUAGUGAUAAUAGACUUUAUUAAAGAACCCAUCUUUAGGAACAGAUUUUCACUUUUGAAAUCCUUACAUUCACAUUCACCUUUAAAAAAAACUAUGCUAUGAAACAUUCAAUCUUGUGGAACAGCAUCUAUUUACUUUAGCUUGCGUAUCAAGUAGCAUCCCAUAUUUAAACUUUAUUAAAUGAAAAACCACAAUUUUGUGGUAAUAAAUAUUUGUAGACAACCAUAUGGUCCAACUUUGCAUUAGAAAAUUCCAAGUGACUUUCCUUAACUUAGUCUUGUAUUCUAAAUUCUAAGUUCAAUACCAUCUCUAUCUUGUCAGAUUAAAUUUGCUUUACAUCUGAUAUUUCUUCAAUAACAUUUUUUGGAUAUAGUCUGUUCAUAGAAACAGACAUUAUUAUCGAAAUGGUUGAUAUUGUGGCUACCAUUUUCUGAUUCCAUUUUUUAAAAGUCUCCUUCACUAUUUUUAUUGGCAUAAGGAUCUUGUAAGAAAUUUUCUACCAAAAUCCUUUAAUCCUGCCUAGCGUACAAUUCUUGAAAUCAUAAAAUUAUUUAUGUUGUGUCUUAUAAAAAUCAAAACAGAAUUUAUUUCCCAUGAGAAGUUGUUUGUACUUUAUAAUUAAUUCCAAAAUCUUACUAUAAAUUUCAAUAUUUCAAUUUUAUCUGAGCCCUUAGUCAAUUUAUAACUUUUUAAGAUCAAAAUUUUAUUUAGUUUUUUGCUGUUUAUAUCAGACUGUAAAUUAUUGAGCUCAUAAUUAGUGUUUUUUCAUUCAGGAAUGAAGACAGACUCAUCAGGUGUUGUCAUGCACAAGGUCUUUUCAAUAUUAAACAAAAACCAAGAACAUGGGGACUUAGUCGCAAGCUGACAGGAGGAAAAUUCAAAACCAAUAUUAGACAGUAUUAGUUCACAGAAAGAAUAGCAGAAACCUGGACCCAAUUUCCAACAGAGGUAGUGGGUCAGUUAUCAGUAACUGAGUUUAAACAUGCUUGGGAUAAACGCAUGUCCGUUAUCUGACAAAAAAAUUAAAAAUAAAAAAAAAUUCAAAGAGCAAACUCUGGAUCACUAGGUCUUUGUCUGCCAUCAGUUUUCUAUGUUUCUAUGUUUCUGUAGUUAAUUCCAUUGUUUCCCAUUGCUCAAACCCAUGGAAACCUCUUGUCCACAGCCACGUUUAGGCAAUCUCCUGUCUUCUCCUUAUCUUUCCGACCUGUCCUUAUCCAUAAUAGUCCCAAGCAUCUGAUCUACUCACCACUUCCUUGGUCUUUGUCACAAUCAGUUCACUGCCCCAGCCCUAGAAAUUUCAAUGCAACGUCCCGAGCCUGCUUUUGCAGGCUCAGGACACAACAGCUAACUUAAUAAUAAUUGCAUAAUUUUGGUUGAUAGAAUUGUUAAUUAUAUUAGUGUUUUGUGGUUAUAGAAGGAAAAUUUAUUAUCAACAAUAAUUUUGCAAUUAUGGUAAAGUUAUGGAAGCAAAAUUGUAGGUGGCAAAAUCAGUCCAUGGCUUCUAACUUGCCUUAGGAAUGAGAAAGCAUUCUUCAUUAUCAUGAUAUUGCCUACUUGGUUGAUUGCUUGCAGAUCUUUCAUUACCCAAAUUCAGAGACCAUCAAGGCUCCACAUUCUACUUUAUGUCCACAUUGUGUAUUGAUUUCCUCAUAGAGAUAAAACAAGGGUAAAAUAUUUGCCUCAAUAGUUAUCUAUCAAAAUUGCCAGUUGUCUUAUAAAUUAAGAUACUGAUAUUGUUAAGUAUUACUUUAACCCAUUAUUGAUAGAUUUUGUUAUUUUUAUUGUAAAUUAAUGGGAUUGAAUAAAAAGAAACAUAAAUUAUUUUAAGGUUGAAAAAGAAGCAAUACAUUAUAUUAAGCUCAAAAGAACAGACUAAGGUUUGGGAAGAUUUGGCCUGCAUUGUUAUUAAAGUAGAUCUACACAGAAUUUUGGGCUUUGUGAUAUAUAUAUAUAUGUUCAAAAGGAUAGUAUUGAAGUAAGCAUAUAUAUUCGAAAGGAUAGUGUUGAAAUUUACCCAAGGCUCACAAAAGCCACAACCAGAAGCAGUAGAAUCUCAGAAAUAUUGUGCUUUGGGAAAAAUAAGACAUAAAUGUAUUUUUAAAACUAGAGAGCAGAAAACUGGAAGACCCUGUUUUACUUCAUAUUAUUAAGUAUAAAGGAUGAUGGAUGUGUCUUGUGAUGUCCUUGUCAGAAUGUUUUGAGGAAAACCAAUAUGUAUUUCAAUCUAAACUGCUUGAGAGAAAAGGGUCUGAAGCUACAGUCUUCAGUUAUACUGUAUAAAAUCUGUGAACCCAGAGGUCUCAAGAGCAAGUGUGGCAUAUUGUACAGACUUAUUUUGCAAAAAAUAUAGUUAUUGAAAUUACAGAUCCUCAAACAUUCCUAUGGAAAUGCAAAUUCCAUCUACCAAAAAUCUGUCUGGUUUCUGCAUACUCGCUUAUCUUGGAGUAAGGACCAAAGUCAAUUGAAAUCCUUUGAUAUUUUUUUUUCUUGUUGAUCUCGCCUUUGAACUUUUAUUAUUUCAGAUUAGUGACUGCAUCCCAGGUUUAAAUUAGACUGACUUAGACUAGAAUAUGUUAUCAGUAGAUAUGUUUGCCAGAAGAGUAAGGAAUGUUGCUUAAAUACAUGCAUUCAAGUUAUACAGAAGAAACUAAUGGGUUCCAUCGCAUCUUGCUUCAUACAAUUAUUAUUUGGGGAAAGUUGUACUUAUUAUUACCAGAUUAUAGAAAAGGUGUGGUGCAGAGUUAAUAUAUACAAAAGGGAAGUAAAUCUCCCAGAACUUUUCAUAAUUUAUCUGAUGUUGUUAUAGACUUCAGCAUUCAGGAUUAUGAAGUCUGCAGAUAUUUGUACCUAUCCAAAGUCUGAGGUUUUUAAAAACUGAAUGUUACUUUCCCAUUCUGCUUCCACUGGAAAUAUUAUUUAACAAUAUCUGACUCAAGAUCCUGCAGGAAAAGGGCAGUGUGGACAACCGUGGGAUCUGGCAGGGUGAGAGCUGUGAACCAUAAACACAAAGCUUUCG